AGGGUCCGUAGGCGGUUUGAUAAGUCAGUGGUGAAAGCCCAUCGCUCAACGAUGGAACGGCCAUUGAUACUGUCAGACUUGAAUUAUUAGGAAGUAACUAGAAUAUGUAGUGUAGCGGUGAAAUGCUUAGAGAUUACAUGGAAUACCAAUUGCGAAGGCAGGUUACUACUAAUAUAUUGACGCUGAUGGACGAAAGCGUGGGUAGCGAACAGGAUUAGAUACCCCGGUAGUCCACGCCGUAAACGAUGGAUACUAGCUGUUGGGAGUAAUCUCAGUGGCUAAGCGAAAGUGAUAAGUAUCCCACCUGGGGAGUACGUUCGCAAGAAUGAAACUCAAAGGAAUUGACGGGGGCCCGCACAAGCGGUGGAGCAUGUGGUUUAAUUCGAUGAUACGCGAGGAACCUUACCAAGGCUUAAAUGUAGUUUGACCGGUUUGGAAACAGAUCUUUCGCAAGACAAAUUACAAGGUGCUGCAUGGUUGUCGUCAGCUCGUGCCGUGAGGUGUCAGGUUAAGUCCUAUAACGAGCGCAACCCCUGUUGUUAGUUGCCAGCGAGUCAUGUCGGGAACUCUAACGAGACUGCCAGUGCAAACUGUGAGGAAGGUGGGGAUGACGUCAAAUCAUCACGGCCCUUACGCCUUGGGCUACACACGUGCUACAAUGGAC
rnacentral:rRNA from 1 species